rnacentral:rRNA from 1 species
AUUGAACGCUGGCGGAAUGCUUAACACAUGCAAGUCGAACGGUAACAGCAGAAGCUUGCUUCUGGCUGACGAGUGGCGGACGGGUGAGUAACGCGUGGGAAUCUACCCUUUAGCGGGGGACAACUCGAGGAAACUCGAGCUAAUACCGCAUAAUCCCUUCGGGGCAAAGGCUUCGGCCACUAUUGGAUGAGCCCGCGUCCGAUUAGCUUGUUGGUAGGGUAAUGGCCUACCAAGG